rnacentral:rRNA from 1 species
CGAUCCUGGCUCAGGAUGAACGCUAGCGGCAGGCCUAACACAUGCAAGUCGAGGGGUAGAGUUCUUCGGGACUUGAGACCGGCGCACGGGUGCGUAACGCGUAUGCAAUCUACCUUAUACAGGGGAAUAGCCCAGAGAAAUUUGGAUUAAUGCCCCAUAGUGUUAUCGAAUCGCAUGGUUUGAUAACUAAAGUUCCAACGGUAUAAGAUGAGCAUGCGUCCCAUUAGUUAGUUGGUAAGGUAACGGCUUACCAAGACAAUGAUGGGUAGGGGUCCUGAGAGGGAGAUCCCCCCACACUGGUACUGAGACACGGACCAGACUCCUACGGGAGGCAGCAGUGAGGAAUAUUGGUCAAUGGGCGCAAGCCUGAACCAGCCAUGCCGCGUGCAGGAAGACGGUCCUAUGGAUUGUAAACUGCUUUUAUACAGGAAGAAACCCUCCCACGUGUGGGAGCUUGACGGUACUGUAGGAAUAAGGAUCGGCUAACUCCGUG